rnacentral:rRNA from 1 species
CAGAGGUGCGAGCGUUAAUCGGAAUUACUGGGCGUAAGCGCGCGUAGGCGGCUUGUUAAGUCGGAUGUGAAAUCCCUGGGCUCAACCUAGGCAUUGCAUACGAUACUGGCAGGCUAGAGUAUGGGAGAGGAAGGUAGAAUUCCAGGUGUAGCGGUGAAAUGCGUAGAGAUCUGGAGGAAUACCGAUGGCGAAGGCAGCCUUCUGGCCUAAUACUGACGCUGAGGUGCGAAAGCAUGGGAGCAAACAGGAUU